GACGAACGCUGGCGGCGUGCUUAACACAUGCAAGUCGAACGGAAAGGCCCUGCUUUUGUGGGGUGCUCGAGUGGCGAACGGGUGAGUAACACGUGAGUAACCUGCCCUUGACUUUGGGAUAACUUCAGGAAACUGGGGCUAAUACCGGAUAGGAGCUCCUGCUGAAUGGUGGGGGCUGGAAAGUUUCGGCGGUUGGGGAUGGACUCGCGGCUUAUCAGCUUGUUGGUGGGGUAGUGGCUUACCAAGGCUUUGACGGGUAGCCGGCCUGAGAGGGUGACCGGCCACAUUGGGACUGAGAUACGGCCCAGACUCCUACGGGAGGCAGCAGUGGGGAAUAUUGCACAAUGGGCGGAAGCCUGAUGCAGCAACGCCGCGUGCGGGAUGACGGCCUUCGGGUUGUAAACCGCUUUCGCCUGUGACGAAGCGUGAGUGACGGUAAUGGGUAAAGAAGCACCGGCUAACUACGUG
rnacentral:rRNA from 1 species